CCUACGGGAGGCUGCAGUGGGGAAUAUUGGACAAUGGGGGCAACCCUGAUCCAGCCAUGCCGCGUGUGUGAAGAAGGCCCUCGGGUUGUAAAGCACUUUCAGUGAGGAAGAACGCCUGGUGGUUAAUACCCAUCAGGAAAGACAUCACUCACAGAAGAAGCACCGGCUAACUCCGUGCCAGCAGCCGCGGUAAUACGGAGGGUGCGAGCGUUAAUCGGAAUUACUGGGCGUAAAGCGCGCGUAGGUGGCUUGAUAAGCCGGUUGUGAAAGCCCCGGGCUCAACCUGGGAACGGCAUCCGGAACUGUCCAGCUAGAGUGCAGGAGAGGAAGGUAGAAUUCCCGGUGUAGCGGUGAAAUGCGUAGAGAUCGGGAGGAAUACCAGUGGCGAAGGCGGCCUUCUGGACUGACACUGACACUGAGGUGCGAAAGCGUGGGUAGCAAACAGGAUUAGAUACCCGAGUAGUC
rnacentral:rRNA from 1 species